rnacentral:rRNA from 1 species
AGAUUGAACGCUGGCGGCAGGCCUAACACAUGCAAGUCGAGCGGCAGCGACGGGUACUUGUACCUGGUGGCGAGCGGCGGACGGGUGAGUAAUGCCUAGGAAUCUGCCUGGUAGUGGGGGAUAACGCUCGGAAACGGACGCUAAUACCGCAUACGUCCUACGGGAGAAAGCAGGGGACCUUCGGGCCUCGCGCUAUCAGAUGAGCCUAGGUCGAUUAGCUAGUUGGUGGGGUAAUGGCUCACCAAGGCGACGAUCCGUAACUGGUCUGAGAGGAUGAUCAGUCACACUGGAACUGAGACACGGUCCAGACUCCGUACGGGAGGCAGCAGGUGGGAAUAGUUGGACAAUGGGACGAAAGCCUGAUCCAGCCAUGCCGCGUGUGUAGAAGAAGUCUUGGAUUGAAAGCACGUUUAAGUUGGAGAGGCAGUUAACAAUACGUAUCGUGUUUACGACGUUACCGAC